UACGGGGGGAGCAAGCGUUGUUCGGAUUUACUGGGCGUAAAGGGCGCGUAGGCGGCCUCCGCAGGUCGACUGUGAAAUCUCUGGGCUUAACCCAGAACGGUCAGCCGAUACUGCGGGGCUAGAGUGCAGAAGGGGCAACUGGAAUUCUCGGUGUAGCGGUGAAAUGCGUAGAUAUCGCUUGGAACGCCGAAGGUGAAAACAGGUUGCUGGGGUUGUGCCGACGCUGAGACACGAAAGCCAGGGGAGCAAACGGG
rnacentral:rRNA from 1 species